GAAACUCUGAUGCAGCCAUGCCGCGUGUGUGAAGAAGGCCUUCGGGUUGUAAAGCACUUUCAGUUGUGAGGAAAGGUUAGUAGUUAAUACCUGCUAGCUGUGACGUUAACAACAGAAGAAGCACCGGCUAACUCCGUGCCAGCAGCCGCGGUAAUACGGAGGGAGCUAGCGUUGUUCGGAAUUACUGGGCGUAAAGCGCGCGUAGGCGGUUUGUUAAGUCGGAUGUGAAAGCCCCGGGCUCAACCUGGGAACUGCACUUGUGACUGCAUGACUAGAGUGCGUCAGAGGGAGGUGGAAUUCCGCGUGUAGCAGUGAAAUGCGUAGAGAUGCGGAGGAACACCGAUGGCGAAGGCAGCCUCCUGGGAUGACACUGACGCUCAUGCACGAAAGCGUGGGGAGCAAACAGGAUUAGAUACCCUGG
rnacentral:rRNA from 1 species